rnacentral:lncRNA from 1 species
CCAAGUCUGGCACUGAUCGCGAACUGUUUUGCUUUGCUCCGGGAAGAGUGCAGACACAUAACGUGAAAUCCCGAGCUUUUUGCGUGGUGCAUUUAAAAUGCUUCCUUAUUUAUAUUACCCUCCUUCCCUCACCUCUCCCACCCCCUCACCAGUCCUUCCAAAUUUCCCUAGAAAUCUGUGUAAAGCGUGCCGAGGGGAAAACAUUUGCACAAAAAGUGAAGGAGCUCGCCAAGGUGGUCAAACCUGUCUUAACAGCUGGAGCUCUGCAUGAGGGUGGCCACUGCAGGAGGGGGUCUCAGAGACCACAGGAGCUGAAGAGUCUUUACCGGUGAGCCCUGGAGUCCCAGGAACUUGGUUUCCUAAAAUGGAAAGGAAGUUUGGGCGAGAGUUUGGCAGUGCCGAUGGUUCCAGCGAAUGAAGAAUCCAUUUGCAGCUGGUGUUGAAAGUGGAAAACGCCAGAAGGUUUAUCUCCUGAAGAAUCUGUGAGAUCCUUUUAAAGGUGAAACUUUUCAUCUUUAGAAUUAAGCACCUUCUCAACUGAACUUGAAGGAGAGAUUAAGUGCAAUGUUUUGAGCUACGUUCAAAAGAAGAUGAGACAGAAGAAGACAGAACUGUUAAAAAUAUGUAAGUUUUAUUAUACAGCCAAAUGAAGGAUUCAGUGCUGUUGUAAUGGUAUUCUUAAAAAUCUCCAGCUUUAUGAAAUCCCUUAAUUAUGGAAUUUUCUUUCAUUAUAUUGAACUACUUGCUGAUUUCCUCAUGAAUAUCUGA